GAGGUGUGUUGAAUACUGCAAGCG
rnacentral:siRNA from 1 species